AGUGAACGCUGGCGGUAGGCCUAACACAUGCAAGUCGAACGGCAGCACAGUAAGAGCUUGCUCUUACGGGUGGCGAGUGGCGGACGGGUGAGGAAUACAUCGGAAUCUACUUUUUCGUGGGGGAUAACGUAGGGAAACUUACGCUAAUACCGCAUACGACCUACGGGUGAAAGCAGGGGAUCUUCGGACCUUGCGCGAUUGUAUGAGCCGAUGUCGGAUUAGCUAGUUGGCGGGGUAAAGGCCCACCAAGGCGACGAUCCGUAGCUGGUCUGAGAGGAUGAUCAGCCACACUGGAACUGAGACACGGUCCAGACUCCUACGGGAGGCAGCAGUGGGGAAUAUUGGACAAUGGGCGCAAGCCUGAUCCAGCCAUACCGCGUGGGUGAAGAAGGCCUUCGGGUUGUAAAGCCCUUUUGUUGGGAAAGAAAAGCAGCAGGUUAAUACCCCGCUGUCCUGACGGUACCCAAAGAAUAAGCACCGGCUAACUUCGUG
rnacentral:rRNA from 1 species